CAGUAGCCACGGUAAUACAGAGGGUGCGAGCGUUAAUCGGAAUUACUGGGCGUAAAGCGCACGCAGGCGGUCUGACAAGUCAGAUGUGAAAUCCCCGGGCUUAACCUGGGAACUGCAUUUGAAACUGUCAGGCUGGAGUCUUGUAGAGGGGGGUAGAAUUCCAGGUGUAGCGGUGAAAUGCGUAGAGAUCUGGAGGAAUACCGGUGGCGAAGGCGGCCCCCUGGACAAAGACUGACGCUCAGGUGCGAAAGCGUGGGGAGCAAACAGGAUUAGAUACCCCAGUAGUCCCUGUCUCUUAUAC
rnacentral:rRNA from 1 species